UCUCACUCUAUAAAACAAGGUUUCCCAGUCUUCGUAUCGCGUCGAUGAAUUUCUACAGCAACUGCUCCUUAGGGGUUUCUUUUUUACUCCUUUUAUGAUUAUGAAUAAGAGAAGGCUUCACUAUCUGGUCAGCGUGGAUUAUCAAUUCCCGUAUGACUCGUUCCCUUGAAGCAAAAGUGCUUGUGUUGCUUCUUUAAAUAUAUCUCCCUCAGCCCUUCAUUUUGUUGCUUUGGGAGGACGCCUGGGGCAACUACAUUCCAUUUUUCAUUUUCUUCAUUUUUUCUUCAAAACAUUGGAGUUCAUAGCAUUAAAGGAACAGUGAUGAGUCAAUACAGACCUGUAAUGACUUGCGGCAAUGAUCGCAACUCUUUAUGAACAUCUAAGGGACUGAGUUCUUCUUAAUGCUUUUAUUUUGCUUUUUUUUUUCAAAUUAUUUUUUUUGGGUUUAGGUUUUACCUAAUAUCUGAGGCUUCACAUCAGUACUUUAUAAAAGCUAAAACUAAGUUGAUUAGCUUAUGCUUAUGUUAGUGAAGCCUAAAUAAACUGUUCCCCUCGCUAUCCAGAGCGGCGUUCUGUGUUGCAUUUGGACGUCGGGGAACUACAUUCUAAUAGUCCAAUGUUAUCUUACUUUUGAAUCUGUUUGCAGUCAAUUGAUGCCACUAUCCUCUAAUGAAAUAAUAAUAACAUGUUGGUUGGAAUCAUUUUUCGGUUAAAAGAAAAUUGAAGAUUGUUCGAAGGAUUGUUUUCAUCUUUAUGGAUGUCCUCCAAAAAUCGCUAAAGAGAAAGGAUUAAUCAAUUUGCUUGCUUGAAAUCAAACAUAAUAGUGUGAUUGUUUUCUGCAAGGUUACAACCAUUCUUGUGAUAUGUUUCAGAAUCUCAAGAUUGGUUAAAUUGCUGCAAAAUGGAUGUUUAGAAUUUCUAUUCCAUGUGUUUAGAUUCCUCUACCCGAGUGCUAUUCAGUUUAAGGUAUUGUUUUUGUGGAAUGGAGAUGAAUGAGGUCUUCGAUUUGUAGUUUCUCUGGUGUUUUUUACGGAGUGCAAGAAUUGCAUGUAGUUUUUUAAGAAUCAAGAGCUCUUAAAAUUUGGAGAAAGCUUUGAAUGAUCUCAUCGGUUGCUUCCAUCUCAAUUAUCAGCAAAGCAUCAAUCAGUGAGAUAUUUAAAGACUGAUGCGGUACUUAGGAAUUACUUAACUUGAGGACGGGUAUGGAAUCUGUUAUCUGGUCUCUAAUUCUGAAUGCUGCCACAGUAGAUUCAAGAUGCCAUUUUUCUGACCAGCUUGCUUCCCAAGAAGGGUAGAAGGCAUGGUGUGUGGACGAGCUCGCUGCAUUUUUCUGACCAGCUUGCUUCCCAAUAAGUGUUAUUGUGAUUUUCGCUUCCUUUGGUAGAACUGGUGAAGAAGCCACCUCCGCUUUUUAUAAGGAUUUUGAGUUUCCGAAAGUGUUAGUAAUCAUGAAAAGCCGAAUCAUUAUUUAUAA